AAAACAUCGGUUCCCGUACAAUUACUAAAGUUAAGCAACAUCGAGCCUGGUCAGUACCUAGAUGGGUAACCAUUUGGGAAUGCCAGGUGCUGUAAG